rnacentral:rRNA from 1 species
UGAAGAGUUUGAUCCUGGCUCAGGAUGAACGCUAGCUACAGGCUUAACACAUGCAAGUCGAGGGGCAGCAUGGUCUUAGCUUGCUAAGGCCGAUGGCGACCGGCGCACGGGUGAGUAACACGUAUCCAACCUGCCGUCUACUCUUGGACAGCCUUCUGAAAGGAAGAUUAAUACAAGAUGGCAUCAUGAGUCCGCAUGUUCACAUGAUUAAAGGUAUUCCGGUAGACGAUGGGGAUGCGUUCCAUUAGAUAGUAGGCGGGGUAACGGCCCACCUAGUCUUCGAUGGAUAGGGGUUCUGAGAGGAAGGUCCCCCACAUUGGAACUGAGACACGGUCCAAACUCCUACGGGAGGCAGCAGUGAGGAAUAUUGGUCAAUGGGCGAGAGCCUGAACCAGCCAAGUAGCGUGAAGGAUGACUGCCCUAUGGGUUGUAAACUUCUUUUAUAAAGGAAUAAAGUCGGGUAUGGAUACCCGUUUGCAUGUACUUUAUGAAUAAGGAUCGGCUAACUCCGUGCCAGCAGCCGCGGUAAUACGGAGGAUCCGAGCGUUAUCCGGAUUUAUUGGGUUUAAAGGGAGCGUAGAUGGAUGUUUAAGUCAGUUGUGAAAGUUUGCGGCUCAACCGUAAAAUUGCAGUUGAUACUGGAUAUCUUGAGUGCAGUUGAGGCAGGCGGAAUUCGUGGUGUAGCGGUGAAAUGCUUAGAUAUCACGAAGAACUCCGAUUGCGAAGGCAGCCUGCUAAGCUGCAACUGACAUUGAGGCUCGAAAGUGUGGGUAUCAAACAGGAUUAGAUACCCUGGUAGUCCACACGGUAAACGAUGAAUACUCGCUGUUUGCGAUAUACUGCAAGCGGCCAAGCGAAAGCGUUAAGUAUUCCACCUGGGGAGUACGCCGGCAACGGUGAAACUCAAAGGAAUUGACGG